rnacentral:tRNA from 1 species
GGAGGGUUGGCAGAGCGGUUGAAUGCGCUGGUCUUGAAAACCAGUAACGGGGUAACUCGUUCGAGGGUUCGAAUCCCUCACCCUCCG